GUCUGAGGCCAUAUAACUCUGAAUGCACCUGAUUGCCUCUGAUCUUAGAAGCUAAGCAGGCUGAGGCCCGGUUAGUACUUGGAUGGGAGAGAGAUGCAAAGAGGAAAGAGAGAGGGUGUGUGCAAGGCA
rnacentral:rRNA from 1 species